GGUAAUUUAUAUGCAACAUUUCACCAAAACUGGAAACUCCAUUGGGAGCCUAUGAAAUUUGAAUGGAGCUCUUGCACAUGUGAGGGGUUGACCCUCAACCACUGUAAGCCCUCAGGCAGUUUAAAUCCCGCAAAGGACACGACUGGCUACAAGUCGACUUUGCCUUCCAGAAGCAGACGACGUCACGGACCGUGUGCCUGUGGGCCAAGGGACUGAUUGGAGUCUCCAAUGAAUAAAUGGGAUAUGACAUCUCUUUGACGCUCUCACGAUGAGAUUCUAUCUACAAGGUGAAUUUUCAGCAUGCGGUUUGGUCAUCAGGUGAAUUCAGUCAGUCUGAAGAUAUUUUAAUCAAAAACACCAAAAGAACUGGAGCACAAGUUUCCACACAGGAGUACGACUAUUCAAGGUAGGACAUUAAUAAAUAUUGCGAGAUACCAAAGCCCUAGCCACAAAUACCUGAUUUGGACGUGGCUUGGCUUAACUUUCAUAGUAUUAGGAGCCACUUGCCUCUAUGCGACAGCUUUGAGUCCAGAUGGACGCAUGAAAAUGAGAAGCAGCCCAGGCCUGAACUCUCAGCUCACGAUCUUCUGUCUGUACUGCAGUUCCCAACAGAACAGUCAUCUUAAUGAUAACCGCAGCGCAUAGAGCGAAGCAAAUA